AAUCAACGCUGGCGGCGUGCCUCAGACAUGCAAGUCGAACGAUUAAGACUUCCUUCGGGAAGUGCAUAAAGUGGCGCACGGGUGAGUAACACGUAAGUAAUCUACCCUCGAGUGGGGAAUAACGUUCGGAACGGACGCUAAUACCGCAUAACGCAGCGGCACCGCAAGGUGACAGUUGUUAAAGGGGUAAAUUCGCUUGAGGAGGAGCUUGCGGCAGAUUAGCUUGUUGGAAGGUAACGGCUUACCAAGGCUACGAUCUGUAUCCGGUCUAAGAGGACGGUCGGACACACUGACACUGAAUAACGGGUC
rnacentral:rRNA from 1 species